rnacentral:rRNA from 1 species
GGUCAAGUGAAGAAGCGCAUACGGUGGAUGCCUUGGCAGUCAGAGGCGAUGAAAGACGUGGUAGCCUGCGAAAAGCUUCGGGGAGUCGGCAAACAGACUUUGAUCCGGAGAUCUCUGAAUGGGGGAACCCACCUAGGAUAACCUAGGUAUCUUGUACUGAAUCCAUAGGUGCAAGAGGCGAACCAGGGGAACUGAAACAUCUAAGUACCCUGAGGAAAAGAAAUCAACCGAGAUUCCCUUAGUAGUGGCGAGCGAACGGGGAUUAGCCCUUAAGCUUCAUUGAUUUUAGCGGAACGCUCUGGAAAGUGCGGCCAUAGUGGGUGAUAGCCCCGUACGCGAAAGGAUCUUUGAAGUGAAAUCGAGUAGGACGGAGCACGAGAAACUUUGUCUGAACAUGGGGGGACCAUCCUCCAAGGCUAAAUACUACUGACUGACCGAUAGUGAACCAGUACCGUGAGGGAAAGGCGAAAAGAACCCCGGAGAGGGGAGUGAAAUAGAACCUGAAACCGUAUGCGUACAAGCAGUGGGAGCCUACUUGUUAGGUGACUGCGUACCUUUUGUAUAAUGGGUCAGCGACUUAUAUUCAGUGGCAAGCUUAACCGUAUAGGGUAGGCGUAGCGAAAGCGAGUCUUAAUAGGGCGUUUAGUCGCUGGGUAUAGACCCGAAACCGGGCGAUCUAUCCAUGAGCAGGUUGAAGGUUAGGUAACACUGACUGGAGGACCGAACCCACUCCCGUUGAAAAGGUAGGGGAUGACUUGUGGAUCGGAGUGAAAGGCUAAUCAAGCUCGGAGAUAGCUGGUUCUCCUCGAAAGCUAUUUAGGUAGCGCCUCAUGUAUCACUCUGGGGGGUAGAGCACUGUUUCGGCUAGGGGGUCAUCCCGACUUACCAAACCGAUGCAAACUCCGAAUACCCAGAAGUGCCGAGCAUGGGAGACACACGGCGGGUGCUAACGUCCGUCGUGAAAAGGGAAACAACCCAGACCGCCAGCUAAGGUCCCAAAGUUGUGGUUAAGUGGUAAACGAUGUGGGAAGGCUUAGACAGCUAGGAGGUUGGCUUAGAAGCAGCCAUCCUUUAAAGAAAGCGUAAUAGCUCACUAGUCGAGUCGGCCUGCGCGGAAGAUGUAACGGGGCUCAAACCACACACCGAAGCUGCGGGUGUCACGUAAGUGACGCGGUAGAGGAGCGUUCUGUAAGCCUGUGAAGGUGAGUUGAGAAGCUUGCUGGAGGUAUCAGAAGUGCGAAUGCUGACAUGAGUAACGACAAUGGGUGUGAAAAACACCCACGCCGAAAGACCAAGGGUUCCUGCGCAACGUUAAUCGACGCAGGGUUAGUCGGUUCCUAAGGCGAGGCUGAAAAGCGUAGUCGAUGGGAAACAGGUUAAUAUUCCUGUACUUCUGGUUACUGCGAUGGAGGGACGGAGAAGGCUAGGCCAGCUUGGCGUUGGUUGUCCAAGUUUAAGGUGGUAGGCUGAAAUCUUAGGUAAAUCCGGGGUUUCAAGGCCGAGAGCUGAUGACGAGUCGUCUUUUAGAUGACGAAGUGGUUGAUGCCAUGCUUCCAAGAAAAGCUUCUAAGCUUCAGGUAACCAGGAACCGUACCCCAAACCGACACAGGUGGUCGGGUAGAGAAUACCAAGGCGCUUGAGAGAACUCGGGUGAAGGAACUAGGCAAAAUGGCACCGUAACUUCGGGAGAAGGUGCGCCGGCUAGGGUGAAGGAUUUACUCCGUAAGCUCUGGCUGGUCGAAGAUACCAGGCCGCUGCGACUGUUUAUUAAAAACACAGCACUCUGCAAACACGAAAGUGGACGUAUAGGGUGUGACGCCUGCCCGGUGCCGGAAGGUUAAUUGAUGGGGUUAGCGCAAGCGAAGCUCUUGAUCGAAGCCCCGGUAAACGGCGGCCGUAACUAUAACGGUCCUAAGGUAGCGAAAUUCCUUGUCGGGUAAGUUCCGACCUGCACGAAUGGCGUAACGAUGGCGGCGCUGUCUCCACCCGAGACUCAGUGAAAUUGAAAUCGCUGUGAAGAUGCAGUGUAUCCGCGGCUAGACGGAAAGACCCCGUGAACCUUUACUGUAGCUUUGCACUGGACUUUGAGCCUGCUUGUGUAGGAUAGGUGGGAGGCUUUGAAGCGUGGACGCCAGUUCGCGUGGAGCCAUCCUUGAAAUACCACCCUGGCAUGCUUGAGGUUCUAACUCUGGUCCGUAAUCCGGAUCGAGGACAGUGUAUGGUGGGCAGUUUGACUGGGGCGGUCUCCUCCUAAAGAGUAACGGAGGAGUACGAAGGUGCGCUCAGACCGGUCGGAAAUCGGUCG